rnacentral:rRNA from 1 species
UACGUAGGGUGCAAGCGUUGUCCGGAAUUAUUGGGCGUAAAGAGCUCGUAGGCGGUCUGUUGCGUCGGCUGUGAAAACCCGGGGCUCAACUCCGGGCCUGCAGCCGAUACUGGCAGACUAGAGUUCGGCAGGGGAGACUGGAAUUCCUGGUGUAGCGGUGAAAUGCGCAGAUAUCAGGAGGAACACCGGUGGCGAAGGCGGGUCUCUGGGCCGAUACUGACGCUGAGGAGCGAAAGCGUGGGGAGCGAACAGG